GUAGGUAUAGUUUAAUCAAAACGCUAGAUUGUGAUUCUAUAGACAGCAGUUAAACCCCGCUUACCCACC
rnacentral:tRNA from 1 species